UCCCGUUGAUUCUGCGGGAGGAUGCUGCUAUCUGGAUUCGACUAAGCCAUGCAAGUCAGGAAGUAAUUCCGGCAGAAUGCUCAGUAACACGUCGAUAAUCUGCCCCUAGGUAGGGGAUAACCUCGGGAAACUGAGGGUAAUACCCUAUAGUUGAAAGGUACUGGAAUGUCCUUUCUUCCAAAGAUUACGCCUAGGGAUGAGUCGGCGGCUGAUUAGGUUGUUGGUGGGGUAAUUGCCCACCAAGCUUAUGAUCAGUAGGGGCCUUGAGAGAGGUAGCCUCGAGAAGGGUACUGAGAAACUGACCCUAGCCCUACGGGGUGCAGCAGGCGCGAAACCUUUACAAUGCACGAAAGUGUGAUAAGGGAAUCCAGAGUGCUUAUACACAGUAUAGGCUUUUGCUAAAGGUAGGAACUUUGGCGAAUAAGUGGUGGGUAAGACAGGUGCCAGCAGCCGCGGUAAUACCUGCGCCACAAGUGGCAUCCAUGAUUAUUGGGCCUAAAGCGUCCGUAGCUGGUUUUGUAAAUUUUUUGUGAAAUUGUCGAGCUUAACUUGGCAGCGUGCAAAAAAGACUGCAUAACUAGAGACCGGGAGGAGUCGGAGGUAUUCUGGGGGGAGCGGUAAAAUGCUAUAAUCCCCGGAGGACCACCAGUGGCGAAGGCGUCCGACUAGAACGGUUCUGACAGUGAGGGACGAAAGCCAGGGGAGCAAAACGGAUUAGAUACCCGUGUAGUCCUGGCCGUAAACGUUGCGAACUAGGUGUUGCACUUCUUCUGAGGAAGUGCAGUAUCGUAGCGAAGGUGUUAAGUUCGCCGCCUGGGAAGUACGGUCGCAAGACUGAAACUUAAAGAAAUUGGCGGGGGCACACUACAAGGGGUGCGGCGUGCGGUUUAAUCUAAUUCCACGCAGAGAAUCUUACUAGCAGCGACGGCAGGAUGACAGUCAGGUUGAAGGCCUUACUUGACGAGCCGAGAGGUGGUGCAUGGCCGUCGUCAGCUCGUGUCGUAAGAUGUCCUCUUAAGUGAGGUAACGAGCGAGACCUGUGCUUACAAUUGCUAACAGGCUUUGUGACUGAGCACAUUGUAAGGACUGCCUUGGAAACAAGGAGGAAGGUGCAGGCAACGAUAGGUCUGUAUGCCCUGAAUCUGCUAGGCUACACGCGCGCAACAAUGGUAAGGACAAUGGGCCACGACUCCGAAAGGAGAAGUUAAUCCUCGAAACCUUAUCUCAGUCUAGAUUGAGGGUUGGAACUCACCCUCAUGACAAUGGAAUCCCUAGUAAUCAGAGUUUAUCAUGCUCUGGUGAAUAUGUCCCUGUGCCUUGCACACACCGCCCGUCAAACCAUUCGAGCAGGGUCUAGAUGAGGCUUAUGUUUUUGCAUACGACGAAUCUGGGCUCAGUGAGAGGGGUUAAGUCGUCACAAGGUA
rnacentral:rRNA from 1 species